UACGGAGGAUGCGAGCGUUAUCCGGAUUUAUUGGGUUUAAAGGGAGCGUAGACGGCGAUGCAAGUCUGAAGUGAAAGGCGGGGGCCCAACCCCCGGACUGCUCUGGAAACUAUAUGACUGGAGUGCAGGAGAGGUGAGCGGAAUUCCUAGUGUAGCGGUGAAAUGCGUAGAUAUUAGGAGGAACACCAGUGGCGAAGGCGGCUCACUGGACUGUAACUGACGUUGAGGCUCGAAAGCGUGGGGAGCAAACAGG
rnacentral:rRNA from 1 species